GACCUUUUCAGGAGGAUUAUCCUUGGCCAACUGAGACAGCCAAAGUCCAGGGAUACAGAAGAACAAAAGCAGUGAGUUUUAUGAUCCAGAGACCAUUUUUUUUUAUCUAGCGAAGGUGCCAGGCCUUGCAGUCAGCCUACUGGUCCGUGCCAAGAAGCAGCAGUGGAGCGAUGGAGUGGUAGAACAGCAAAGUGGUGGACCCAGUGGGUUGGAGCUCUCUGCACUUCAAGAGAGAGGCACAAUGGGCCAGUGCUAAGGUUUCAUUCUUGGAAUUAGAGGAGAACCCAGAAAGAAGAAAUUGAAGAUGAGUUGCUGGGGUCACCCUCAACACUGGAGGGCGUUACCUGCCAUUAAGAGCUGUAACACUUCUUGGCUGUAGGGGCAUGCAGCUUGUGCCAAUUCCAACUGUCAGUGGAUGCAGUGAAUUGAGUUUCAUCUCAAAACUUCAGUUUCAAAGCAAAGAGCUUGUUCUUCCCUGCCAUGGAAGAAGGACAGAGCAAGAAAACGUCCAUUUUCAAACCAGGAAGAGUUCUCACUAGAACCCAAGUGUGCUGGCACCCUGAUCUCUGAAGUCGAGCUUUC